UACGAGGGGGGCAAGCGUUGUUCGGAAUUAUUGGGCGUAAAGAGCUCGUAGGCGGUUUGUCGCGUCGGCUGUGAAAUCCCGAGGCUCAACCUCGGGCCUGCAGUCGAUACGGGCAAACUAGAGUGUGGUAGGGGAGACUGGAAUUCCUGGUGUAGCGGUGAAAUGCGCAGAUAUCAGGAGGAACACCGGCGGCGAAGGCGGGUCUCUGGGCCAUAACUGACGCUGAGGAGCGAAAGCGUGGGGAGCGAACAGG
rnacentral:rRNA from 1 species